UUUGACGUCCAUCUUUGUCUCUGCAGUGGGUCGAGUGGAGCCCACCCUGACGGUGCUGCCCCCCUCCAGAGAGGAGCUGCAGCAGGGGAAGGCCACGCUCAUGUGCCUGGCCAACAAGGGCUUCCCCUCAGACUGGAGUCUGUCCUGGAAGGUGAACGGCGGCAGCAGCAGCAGCUGGGAGGAGAGCAGGAGCCCCGCGGUGCUGCAGAAGGACGGCCACUACAGCUGGAGCAGCACCCUGAGGCUCCCUGCAGACCAGUGGAGGAAGGUGGGCUCUGUGACCUGUGAGGCCACCCAGGGCUCCCAGUCUGCACUCUCACACACACUGAGGACACACCAGUGUUCCCAGUACUGAGCCCACUCACUGGGGAUCACCUACUGCUCUGACUCUGCUCAUCAGCUCACUCUGUCUCUCCAACUCUCUGGCUUUGUGUCAUUUCAACACUUUGAACAGCAAACAUUUUCAGGCUUCUCUCACUGCUGCAAUAUUGUUUCAGUGUUUGACCACAAAUAAACGUCUGUACAUCAAA